AGCAGCCGCGGUAAUUCCAGCUCCAAUAGCGUAUAUUAAAGUUGUUGCAGUUAAAAAGCUCGUAGUUGAAUUUCGGGACCAAUAUGUCGGUCGUGCCUCGGUACGCACUGGCUUAUUGGUUUCUCCUUUCUGAAGAACCAUGAUGUCAUUCAUUUGGUGUCGUGGGGAAUCAGGACUGUUACUUUGAAAAAUUAGAGUGUUUAAAGCAGGCUCACGCUUGAAUACAUUAGCAUGGAAUAAUGAAAUAGGACGUUUGAUUCUAUUUUGUUGGUUUCUAGGAUCGACGUAAUGAUUAAUAGGGAUAGUUGGGGGCAUUAGUAUUCAAUUGUCAGAGGUGAAAUUCUUGGAUUUAUUGAAGACUAACUACUGCGAAAGCAUUUGCCAAGGAUGUUUUCAUUAAUCAAGAACGAAAGUUAGGGGAGUCGAAGACGAUCAGAUA
rnacentral:rRNA from 1 species